rnacentral:rRNA from 1 species
UGGGGAAUUUUGCACAAUGGGCGGAAGCCUGAUGCAGCGACGCCGUGUGGGGGAUGAAGGCCUUCGGGUUGUAAACUCCUUUCGUCAGGGACGAAGUUUGUUUGACGGUACCUGGAUAAGAAGCACCGGCUAACUACGUGCCAGCAGCCGCGGUAAUACGUAGGGUGCGAGCGUUGUCCGGAUUUACUGGGCGUAAAGGGCUCGUAGGUGGUGUGUUGCGUCGUCUGUGUAAUCCAGGGGCUUAACUUUUGGUUGGCAGGCGAUACGGGCAUUGCUUGAGUGCUGUAGGGGAGACUGGAAUUCCUGGUGUAGCGGUGAAAUGCGCAGAUAUCAGGGGGAACACCGAUGGCGAAGGCAGGUCUCUGGGCAGUUACUGACGCUGAGGAGCGAGAGCAUGGGUAGCGAACAGG